rnacentral:lncRNA from 1 species
GGGCAGCCUUCCCAGCAGGCGGCCUGGCUCUCCAGAGGCUCUUGGGGCCCAUUCCACCCCCAAGGGACCCGGGCAGGAAGUUUCAGCACAGUGGGCUCCCGGGUCACUCCCCGGUGUGCCUGUUCAUCCCCGCAAAUGCGUCGGAUCACAGAGGCGACACGGGCCCCGUCGGGCGCGGACACUGACACUGGGUCCUGCGGCGCAGGCGCACCUGCUCUCUCACCGCCCGACGCUUGCGGCUACUGAAUUCACACGGAGUUAAAGACCUGAGCGCGGACCGAGUUUCCAGCCGCAGUCUGCGCUGGGGGUGGGAGGCCUUCCCUACCAGACGCUUUUGUUUUGCUUCUCCUCUGCACAUGGGCCUUAAAAUUUGCCAAGAAAGGUUACGGGGGCCGAGAUUGUUUAGUUUGGAGAUGGGAAAGCUCAAGAAUGACUUAACUACUGUCUUCAGAUACACAGAGGCAUUUAUUACAAGGAGGGAAGGACUGCGUGCGUAUUUCCUUAGACUGCAGGAAGAGAAAGUUCCACUGGAAUCGCAGAUGAAGGCCUGCGUGCCCAGUCUCCCUCAGAGCGCCUGGCAGAGAGGAGGCGCCCUCGUGGAAAAUCCAGGACUGCCCGCCCUUGAGUGGAAGUUCUGGAAGUUGAGGCCUCAACGACCUUUGAGGCAGAGGGUCCUGGUAUCUGUUUUAGACAAGGCCAGAGGUUUUGCCUGGCUGCUGGCAGCAGGGACACUGUGUCUGCAGCUAAGAGGGAUGGCGGGACCCUCGGCCUCCCUGCUCCUCUGCCUGUGCCUCUCACCCAGUGUUGCAAAGCAGUUCCAGAUCCUUCCUUGAGAGCGGAUUUUGGUGUGGAGGGAAGAGAGUUAUGGAAGCCCUCAGAAGGAACCAAUCUUGCCAGCACCUUGAUUUCAGAUUUCUACCCUCCAGAAUGAGGUGUGGAGGGAAACGGUGAAGAGCCGAUGCUGGAGUCACGGUCACUGCCCGCAGCAGCUGAGACCACAGAUGCGGCUGCUGUCUGAGGGCUCAUAUCCUAGCCCAGUACUUCCUCAGCUUUUUGUGUCCAAAAGUCUUUCUGGAAAACCCUUAAACAUGUGAUCCUUGAGGCUGUUUUAGAGCUUUUAAACAUAGACGAAUUUAACCAGGAUGCUUUUUCUCCUCUGGACUUCUUUGUUUUAAAUUGGGCUCCUCCAGUAAAUCCAGCUCCUCAGUCAAGUCUUGGGUGAUGGGUUCUCCAUGCUUUUCAUUCUGCAGACUAUUCUGGAGGGUGGAGACCUUCUGAGAAUCGGCUCUUCCAUAAGGCGCUGUCCUCUCAUGCCCCACCUUUGACUCACCGUCUGGUAGCCUUGCUCUGCUGGACCACGUCCCGGUUGAAGGCACGGAGCAGCAGAGGCCAGAGAGCAGGCGGCCUGGAUGCCCUUGCUCCUGGCUAGCAGGCACAGCCUUGGACCACUGUAACCACAGGCCCUGUAGGACCAGCUCAAGCUGACCCAAUCUGAUCGCCGGGAGGUUUUUCAGGGGCAAGCCAAAAAUUUGCAAGUCAUGUAACCAGAGCAUGUGCGGAGGAGAAAAUCUUGAUCUGAAAUGACCCCGGAACCAAAGAUUCUCCACCACGGAACCAAAGGACUGGGAUGCAACGGGAACUUGAGAGUCGGACUCUUAUCAGAAGUGAGGAGUCCCUUGUCGGGGAAGAUCCGGUGUUAAAGCCUCUUCCACACCUUGCCAUAAAUGUUUAAAACCUUGCCAUAAACAUUUAAAGCCUUCCUAUAAAACGUUUAAAGCCCUCCAAUCGAAACUGCCCACCAGCGCUUCCGUGUGCCAGCCUGUUCUCCCUAAUGUCUUCAAUUUUGCCCCAAACUCUGGAUCAGGGAGACAGAUUUGAGAAUGUUGCCUCCUGUCUCCUUGCUAGUCGACUUCAAAAUAAAGCUUUAUUCUUUUUGCAAAAGCUGAUGCCAUAAUAAUUGGCUCUUUAUGAGCAUCAGGCAAGAGAACUCCAAUGUUGUGCCAUCACGCUGCUCCUGCUCCCCACUUCUGUUUCUCCCGGUUGCUGGACGUGGGCCAUGGCAUUGCUCUGUACUCUGUUAUCUGGAACUCUCCGUCCCUUUGGCUCGCCCCGUCUCUGGCCCAAUGGCCCUCUGUGUGGACUGUGUUUGCCAAGCCCAGCCCCCCAGUGUC